ACCUACGGGACGCAGCAGUGAGGAAUAUUGGUCAAUGGUCGGGAGACUGGACCAGCCAAGCCGCGUGAGGGAUGAAGGUACAGAGUAUCGUAAACCUCUUUUGUCAGGAAACAAAGGCGGGGACGUGUCCCCGGAUGAGUGUACCUGAAGAAAGAGCAUCGGCUAACUCCGUGCCAGCAGCCGCGGUAAUACGGAGGAUGCGAGCGUUAUCCGGAUUUAUUGGGUUUAAAGGGUGCGCAGGCGGUCUGUUAAGUCAGCGGUCAAAGCCCGGGGCUCAACCCCGGCCCGCCGUUGAAACUGGCAGU
rnacentral:rRNA from 1 species